rnacentral:rRNA from 1 species
UACGUAGGGGGCAAGCGUUGUCCGGAAUCAUUGGGCGUAAAGCGCGUGUAGGCGGCUGGGUAAGUCCGCUCUGAAAGCCCGGGGCUCAACCCCGGGAGGCGGGUGGAUACUGCUCAGCUCGAGUCCGGAAGAGGAGUGUGGAAUUCCUGGUGUAGCGGUGAAAUGCGCAGAUAUCAGGAGGAACACCAAUGGCGAAGGCGACUACCUGGCCUGUUCUUGACGCUGAGGCGCGAAAGCUAGGGGAGCAAACGGG